GACGUAGGGGGCUAGCGUUGUUCGGAAUUACUGGGCGUAAAGCGAGUGUAGGCGGUUGCCCAAGUCAGGUGUGAAAGCCUUGAGCUCAACUCAAGAAAUGCACUUGGUACUGGGUGGCUAGAGGACCGGAGAGGAUAGUGGAAUUCCCAGUGUAGUGGUGAAAUACGUAGAGAUUGGGAAGAACACCAGUGGCGAAGGCGGCUAUCUGGACGGUUACUGACGCUAAGACUCGAAAGCGUGGGGAGCAAACAGG
rnacentral:rRNA from 1 species